AGCGUUUACAAACAAUGCUGGCAUUGCUGAUCCCUGGGGCUUCCCAGGCAAAGUAGAUCCCAGCCCCACCCCAUGUGGAACUGUCUCCACAGUACUGAAAACUAUUUCUGUAUCAGAAACCUUUGGGCUCAUUUUUUUCUGUUUUUAAAAAAGAUUAUUUUUACGUGUAUGAGUAGUUUGCCUGUGUGUGUGUUCAUGCACUGAGCACAUGCCUGGGGAGGUAGCCAGAAGAGUGCUGGAUCCCCUGGAACUGGAGUUCAGGAGAGAUGUGAGCUGCCAUCUGGGUCCUCUCUUGAAGAGCAGCUCUUAGCCACUAAGAGCUUCAUCUCUCCAGCCCUUACAUUAAAAAAUGUGUAGGAAAAUUAUUACUACUCUAGUGUACUUUACAUAGACAUAGACUGUUUUGCAUUUCUGAAUUUAUUUUUUAUUUGUGUAUGUCUACCUAAGUUAUGUGCACUGUGCAGGUGCCCUCAGAAGCAGCAGUAGACCCUGGACCUGGAUGACAGGCACUUGGGAGCUACCUGUUGUUAUGUGGGUGCUGGAAGCUUUACCUAGCUGUACCCAAAUAUGGCAGCUUACAAUUCUCCUUAAAUUCUGUUCUAGGGAAUCCAGGGCUCUUAUCCUCUGAGACAUCUCUCGAGUUCCUGCAUUUUAUAUUUUGAUGUGGUUGUCAAGUUGGAACUAUGGUACAAGGAAAUACUCCUAAGUGGGCAGAUUGUAGGUGUGCCACAAUUCUCUAAGAAGAAAAAGACAUGAAGUAACAGCUUUCAAGUCCGUGGGACUCUGACUACGAUGAGCCUCUCACUGUUACACUUCACCGGACGGAAAGGGAAGAGUCUUCUGGAUGAACCUGGCCUGAUCACACCAACCAUUAAAGAGCACAGGGUUCCUCCAGCUCUGACUGCAGAAGUCAGAGACUCAUCCAGGCAGGGCCAGAAGAAAGCCAACGUCAACACUGGGAACUACCUUUGGGAACCAUGUCAAAAACUUGAAAGCAAUCUUUAAAAACUGAGAGUGAGAGUGACAUCCCCCACCGUUCACCCCCAGUUUGGGAGCUAGAAGAAAGGACUUUAAUCCAUCAUUGCAAGGACUCUAAACGACUACUAGCCUCAGAGGAAGAUUCUAAUACAGUCCUCACAUACCAUGGUCCCUGCUGAGCAAAGCCUACAGAGAAUCCUGACUUCUGCUGUGACAUGAGCCCUGUGGGAGUCACUAAACUCCUGACAGUUGCUUUAGCAGUCAAAAUACUGAGAGAAGAGAAUGUAUACUUCACAAAUACAAAACCAAUCUUCACAAAUAUUUCAAAAUUGCUGUCCAAAUACUUGACACCAAUUUAAAUCCCUACCAAGAGUAAAUCUACUUUGAAACCCU